rnacentral:rRNA from 1 species
CCUACGGGGUGCAGCAGUCGAGAAUCAUUCACAAUGGGGGAAACCCUGAUGGUGCGACGCCGCGUGGGGGAAUGAAGGUCUUCGGAUUGUAAACCCCUGUCAUGUGGGAGCAAAUUAAAAAGAUAGUACCACAAGAGGAAGAGACGGCUAACUCUGUGCCAGCAGCCGCGGUAAUACAGAGGGCUCAAGCGUUGUUCGGAAUCACUGGGCGUAAAGGGUGCGUAGGCUGUUUCGUAAGUCGUGUGUGAAAGGCGCGGGCUCAACCCGCGGACGGCACAUGAUACUGCGAGACUAGAGUAAUGGAGGGGGAACCGGAAUUCUCGGUGUAGCAGUGAAAUGCGUAGAUAUCGAGAGGAACACUCGUGGCGAAGGCGGGUUCCUGGACAUUAACUGACGCUGAGGCACGAAGGCCAGGGGAGCGAAAGGGAUUAGAUACCCCAGUAGUC